rnacentral:rRNA from 1 species
AUAGCGUAUAUUAAAGUUGUUGCAGUUAAAAAGCUCGUAGUUGGAUUUCAAGAGGAACAGCAUGGGUAACAUGUCUGUCCUCUACCAGUCAUUGACUGUUACUGUGAGAAAAUUAGAGUGUUUCAAGCAGGCUGUUGCAGGAAUACAUUAGCAUGGAAUAACGAGUGUGUCUAGAAUCUUGGUUAAUUCUAGAUUACGAUUAAUAGGGACAGUUGGGGGCAUUAGUAUUUAAUUGUCAGAGGUGAAAUUCUUGGAUUUGUUAAAGACUAACGUAUG